rnacentral:rRNA from 4 species
UGAAUUCAUCUCCGGGGGUAGAGCACUGUUUCGGCUAGGGGGCCAUCCCGGCUUACCAACCCGAUGCAAACUGCGAAUACCGGAGAAUGUUAUCACGGGAGACACACGGCGGGUGCUAACGUCCGUCGUGAAGAGGGAAACAACCCAGACCGCCAGCUAAGGUCCCAAAGUCAUGGUUAAGUGGGAAACGAUGUGGGAAGGCCCAGACAGCCAGGAUGUUGGCUUAGAAGCAGCCAUCAUUUAAAGAAAGCGUAAUAGCUCACUGGUCGAGUCGGCCUGCGCGGAAGAUGUAACGGGGCUAAACCAU